GGUUUAAUCCAACCUGUGGCUCCUUUACUGCAUGUCAUUCCCCACCAUCUCUCUCCCUGAUUUCAGACUCCACUGUCCUAUCUCUACAAUAGAGGCACAAAAAAGCCCAAAAAUACAUCUUAAAAAACUUUUUAAAAAAAGAAGGGAUAAUUUGCUGGACAGUGAUUGGCACCUCAGGGAGAUGCCGUCUUAUUUUCAUUAACAUGUCUGACAUGUUUCCAGUGACUUUAUUCACGUAGAACCUAAAAUAUCCACCCAACUGAAUAAAAGUAGCAGGCGGGUUCUCUAUCUUUGCCGUGUCAUCUUGCUGCGUCACUCUUCUCCUACGUCUGUUUUGCUGUGUCUGCAUCUUCUUCUGUGGGGUGUGGAUACCGCCAUGUGUGCAUGCCUUUUUCCUCCACUCAGAUGUAUUCAUUGUAUGACUGCGUGCACCAAACUGUGACGUCCAUACUUUGUCUGUUUGGGACAAAGAGUACUCAUACUGUCCUGCUUUCUACUGUUUCUGUAAAAAGGCUUGGGUUGUACAACACCUCUGAAUAAUUCAAGGCUGCACCGCUGUGAUCAUGUAAGCACAAAUGAUCUCGGUUGCCUAAUAUCUUUGAACACCUUGAGUAUCCAUCAUGUGUCAGAGGGACUUUUUAAAUAAUAAUCUUGGAUGAAGACUAAGCUUCAGUCUAACGUCAGUUCGGUUUGCAGAAUGAAAGUGUUUCUAAUAAGUCAGUGUUUUUACAUUCCUCAUGGAAAUGAUUAAUCCAGCACGUCCUUGUGAUGGAUGUAGCUGUGUGCUGUAACUCAAUCAAGUCCCACUCCAUAUGUCCCGCCUUAAAAAACACGUUAUGUGAUUACAACUGCAUGCAUAUUAAACUGAAUCCCUAUUAUGUUGAGCAGAUUUUAUUUUCCAUGUUUGUAUAUUUCUAUUUACUUCAAAUAACAUCUUGUUUUUCUCCGAGUGGUGGCAGCCCAUUGUUCAUGUUCCCCUCUGUUUUAGCUCAUCAUCUCAUUAGCUUCAAUGACAGACAUAUCCGUCUGAUUACUGUCUUCCUUGGUUUAGUGAAGCAAACACAGAAAACGGAAGGUUGCUUCCUUUAGUGGCAGAUAACACAUUUUAAAAACCAACAGAAUCAAAACAUCUCUCGCAGGAAAGUAUCGACCAAACACGAGGCUGAGAGGAGCCUUUUGUAAGAGCUUUUCUAAAACCACUGAGGGAUCAACAAAGAUGACACAGAUAAUCUUGUUGUCACUUAAAAGCAUCGAUAUCGAUGGGAAAGCACAAAAGAACGUAUGUUUUUUCACCUCACUUUGGGGAAUCUCUUCCAUAGAGUGAGAUAAAAGUUUGUAAAAAGCCUCCAAUCCUUCACUGUGCUUCACAUCAGGAAUCUGUCCAUUUUAACACAUCAUUUAGUUUCAUGAUGUGUUUGCUCGUAAAGUUGUUUUGAUGUAAAAAAAAAUAAUAAUAAUAAAAAAGCAAAACGUGGGUGGAAUGAAGACCAGCAUUUUAAAUGCAAAUUCGCUCUGUCAGAAAAUUCAGAAACAAUCACUGAAGUCUGGAGGCAGAAUAAAGCACAGCAGUCCAUUAGUGUUGAGAAAAUGACAAUGAAAAGUGCUCCCAACAAGCUCAUUUGAAUAUGAAGUCAAAGAGCGAAUUUAUUUCACCUCUACUUUAAUCACUAUUCAGUUUCUCCCACGGAAAAUAACCUUUCAAGACGCAACCUACGACCAGGGGACUGAAAGACUUUCAAAGGCAUCAGCUCAGAAUUAAAGUUUCUAACAUCAGCUAAAGCCUGGCAGACACUGAACCAUUGAAGGAAAGUCCUGGCAGGACGACGGCUCGCACUGUACGACUGAAUCGUUUACGAUGUACGACCAAACCUCGUCCAAAUCUGGACGGAGUUGAAGUCAGAUCUGUAUUUCACUUGUCUCCUAUGUACGGCUGAAAUCCACAGGCGCUUUGAUCAUGCACUCAGUAUCACCAGCAGACACAAGCUAAAUCAUAACAUGCAUUCCCGUCAGCUGGAGGUCUGUAGCUAUUUCAUGACAACAUUUCUCUGGUUCAUAUCUUUGGUGAUUGGAGGUGGGGGCGGUGCACGUUGAACAGGCAUGCCUGCUGUUGCCAUGGUGCUUUCUGACAGUUAGUGUAGGCAUGAUCAGGAAUAAAAAGCUCUGAUGUCAGGGAAUUUGCUCGUGCCUCUGUUCACACUGUGCGAGAGUUUGUAGUCGUACGACCAAAAUGUGAAGAAUGCCGGAAAAUCACAUGACGGCCAUCUUGCCCUCCCUUAAAUUUGCACGACAAGCGGAGCGCGAUCUGGCACUUAUUCCACUUCAGAAUUAGUCGUGCAACUCAAAAAGGGCCGGCUGUGGCUCAGUUGGUAGAUUUGUUGCUCCUGCAGCAACAUGAACCCUGUGGGUGAUCAGACUGUUUUCGGCCAUCUUGCCCCCUUAAAGGCAGGGCAGGUCAUUUUCUCCAGACGGAGCACUGAGGGAAUGAUAGUUUUGGAAAAUGACCAACCCUACCUUUAAAAUUGCACAACAAACGGAGCGCGGUCUGGCACAAAUUCGCCCGACUACAGAAUCAGUUAUGUAACUC